rnacentral:rRNA from 1 species
AUACGUAGGGGGCGAGCGUUGUCCGGAAUGAUUGGGCGUAAAGGGCGCGUAGGCGGCCCGGUAAGUCUGGAGUGAAAGUCCUGUUUUUAAGAUGGGAAUUGCUUUGGAUACUGUCGGGCUUGAGUGCAGGAGAGGUAAGUGGAAUUCCCAGUGUAGCGGUGAAAUGCGUAGAGAUUGGGAGGAACACCAGUGGCGAAGGCGACUUACUGGACUGUAACUGACACUGAGGCGCGAAAGUGUGGGGAGCAAACAGGAUUAGAUACCCUGGUAGUCCACACUGUAAACGAUGAAUGCUAGGUGUAGGGGGUAUCGACCCUUUCUGUGCCGCAGUCAACACAAUAAGCAUUCCGCCUGGGGAGUACGGCCGCAAGGUUGAAACUCAAAGGAAUUGACGGGG